CCUAGGGAGGCUGCAGUGGGGAAUAUUGGACAAUGGGCGAAAGCCUGAUCCAGCCAUGCCGCGUGUGUGAAGAAGGCCUUCGGGUUGUAAAGCACUUUCAGUGGGGAAGAAAGCCUUGGGGCUAAUACCCUCGAGGAAGGACAUCACCCACAGAAGAAGCACCGGCUAACUCCGUGCCAGCAGCCGCGGUAAUACGGAGGGUGCGAGCGUUAAUCGGAAUUACUGGGCGUAAAGCGCGCGUAGGCGGUCUGAUAAGCCGGUUGUGAAAGCCCCGGGCUCAACCUGGGAACGGCAUCCGGAACUGUCAGGCUAGAGUGCAGGAGAGGAAGGUAGAAUUCCCGGUGUAGCGGUGAAAUGCGUAGAGAUCGGGAGGAAUACCAGUGGCGAAGGCGGCCUUCUGGACUGACACUGACGCUGAGGUGCGAAAGCGUGGGUAGCAAACAGGAUUAGAUACCCCGGUAGUC
rnacentral:rRNA from 1 species